GAUGAACGCUGGCGGCGUGCCUAAUACAUGCAAGUCGAGCGAACAGACGAGGAGCUUUCUCCCCUGACUUUAUCGGCGGACGGGUGAGUAACUCGUGGUUAACCUACCUAUAAGACUGGGAUACCUUCGGGAAACCGUAGCUAAUACCGGAAAAUAUAUCGAACCUCAUGAUUCAAUAGUGAAAGACGGUUUUGCUGUCACUUAUAGAUUGAUCCGCGCCGCAUUCGUUAGUUGGUAAGGUAACGGCUUACCAAGGCGGCGAUGCGUAGCCGACCUGAGAGCGUGAACCGCCAGACUGGAUCUGAGACACGGUCCAGACUCCUACGGGAAGAAACGGUAGAGACUCUUCCGCGAUGGGCGAGUGCCUGACGGAGCAACGCGGCGUGAGUGAUGAAGGAGUUCGGAUCGUAGAACUCUGUUAGUAGGGGAGAACAAAUGUGUAAGUAACUGUGAACAUCUUGGCGGUACCUAAACAGAAAGCCACGGCUAACUACGUG
rnacentral:rRNA from 1 species